rnacentral:rRNA from 1 species
AGUGAACGCUGGCGGUAGGCCUAACACAUGCAAGUCGAACGGCAGCACAGUAAGAGCUUGCUCUUACGGGUUGCGAGUGGCGGACGGGUGACGCAUACAUCGGAAUCUACUUUUUCGUGGGGGAUAUCGUCGGGCCGCUUACGCUAAUACAGCAUACGUCCUACUGGUGAGAGCAGGAGUUCUUCGCGCCUUUCGCGAUUGAUUGAGCCGAUGUCGUAUUAGCUCGUUGGCGGGGUAAAGGCCCACCAAGGCGACGAUCCGUAGCUGGUCUGAGAGGGUGAUCAGCCACACUGGAACUGAGACACGGUCCAGACUCCUACGGGAGGCAGCAGUAGGGAAUAUUGGGCAAUGGGCGAAAGCCUGAUCCAGCCAUACCGCGUGAGUGAAGAAGGACUUCGGGUCGUAAAGCCCUGUUGUUAGGAAAGAACAGAAGCAGGUUAAUACCUCGCGGUCCUGACGGUACCGAAAGAAUAAGCACCGGCUAACUACGUG